UGUUAAAGCGACAAUCUAAAAUUUAGUAAGCUUAGCAGACUUAAAGUUAUACUUUCCCAAGCCAUUUCUCCAUUCUCUCUCUUGUUUUCUUCUCUCACUUCAUUCUCCAUUAGAUCUUUGACUCUAACCAGUUCAUGCUUCACUCUCCAUUUUUUUUUUUGGAAGAUCCAUGAGAGAAUAAAAUGAAGAACUCUCUUAGAUUCUUCCUCUCAAAAUCUCACAGCUUUCAAUAAGCUUAACUAUCAAAGGUUGGUAUAUUGAAGGAGGAUGAGGAUGACAUGCGGUGCUGAUACUAUAAAAGGAUAUAGGGUUUUGAAAGAAUAUAAGGUACAAAUGACCUUUUGUAUAUUCAUUAUCUGAAUAUAAUAUUCAAUAGAGUAGAGUAUCUAUAUACAAGAUGUACAUCAAGAGUAAUUAAAAGGAACAACAGCUACAUGUGGCAAUGGAAAAGCAAAAUGAAAAAUAAAUACAAUACAUGUGUAAAAUUGUAAGCAAACAUGCGUAGAAUUAUUAGGCACGGUGAUUAAGCCCUCAGUACAUUACAAUUUGAAACUAAUUCGUGUUGCCAUUGUUGCUCUGUUAUUAUUUCUUUUUUUUGGUGGUGUAGUACUGCAUUUAGUUAGCUUAAUGUUGAACUCAUAUUUUCUUGAGUGGUUGCACUAGCAUCACCUUUAUUAGGAGGCAAAAUCACAUAGUGAUCAUUUUAUUUUAUAUCAUAACUUGCAACAACUCCUAUUUUGAUUUCUAAUUUUUGUUGAAUAUAAACAUAUUCAUAUUAAUAUAUAUAUAUAUAUAUGUUCUAAACUAAACAUUGCUCAUUGUUGGUGUCACAACGUGCUUAAAUACUCCUAAUAUUUAUUCUUGUUACUAGAGUACUCUAACUUAUGAAAUGUUCUAUGCUCAGAGAAAUCUUUGAACAUUUUACUUUUUUUUUCUUAUAGCUUUUCUUAUAGCCUUUGUUUUUAUCUUGCAUCUAAGAUGGAAUCUGCCAUAUUUUUAUUGAUGUUUGCUAAACAUGGAUAUUGCAAAGCAAGUUGUCUUGGAUGCAAAGUUGGAUUAUCCAGCAACUUGUAAUGCCAUGGUAAUCCAUUACACAUGAAUUUCUUUCUUUUUUUUUUUGCUUGAAGAGCCAGCCCGUAUAUGGAAAACAUUUUUGCAAUAUUUAAUUAUGUUUUUUAUGGGAAUGUAAAGCAAUGAAAGUAUUUACAUUAAUGUUUUUAGUGGUUGGUUUUCAACAUCAUUUGUGCUAUUUUUCUGUUUCCAUGUUUAAGAUUUGGUCAAUUAUAUAAUAGAGCAUUAUUAUAUACCAAGAAAUAAAUUAUUUGUGGUUAAUAUUGGCUUUGUGAUUCUACAGGCCUGCUUGAUAUUUCUCUAUUUUUUUAUAAGGGUUUUGCAUUUGGGUAUUUGAUAAAUCAAUACUUGAUUGCAUUUUUUUCAAAUUGUUUGUGUCGUAGUUUUAGAUGGUAGUUACAUUUUAUUUUCGUGUCAUUAAUUUGUUUUUAUUUAUUAGUGGUAGCAAGCACAAACACCAAAGUGUAUAUAGGUGCAUGUAUUUGUAUAUAAAUGGAACUUAUUCUUUUGUUUUCCUAUCAUAAAUAGUCUUUUGUAUAUGUUAUUUCUAUGUUUGGAUGAAUUUAGUUUCUUAAAAGACAUGUAUUAAUUUUGCAUGGGUAUAUGAGCACAUUGAACAAAACUAAUUGAUAAAAUAAGGUUAUAAACGUGGUAUAUAUUAAUAAUAGAUUUUCUACAGUGAAAUAGUUCAAUGAAACAAAUUAGCAUAUACAUGUCAUUAAUGAUAGGGUUUUCUAUAAAUAUAGAUUUGUUAGCAUUUAGAAAGGAAUAGGAGAUUAUUAGUGUCUUGUUCUUGAGAGUCCAAUUUAAGAAUGGUUCUUGUUGAAAGUGGUAAAGGUAUAACAAAAAAAUGUCAUGAUGCUGCCACAGUUCAUUAUUCCAAUGUUGAAAGUGGACAAGAGGUGUCCAUUCUAAGAAAUAGAUGGAGAGAAAGGUUGAUUGUCAUUAAUUAAUUUAGUCAACUGAGCUAUAUAUGCCCUUUUUUAUUGUAAUAAUAAGUAGGAAUUUCUUCUAUUUUAUAUUGUCUGUGUCUCUUUGUAAAUUUAUGAAUUAUUUGUUUUUUUAGAUUUGUAAUUAUCUCAAUGAAUGUAUUUCAAUGAAUAA